GUGCACCAGGCGAGAAUUUUUCACAAUGGGGGAAACCCUGAUGGAGCGACGCCGCGUGGAGGAUGAAGGUAUUCGUAUCGUAAACUCCUGUCAAACGGGAACAAGAAAGUGAUAGUACCGUUAGAGGAAGAGACGGCUAACUCUGUGCCAGCAGCCGCGGUAAUACAGAGGUCUCAAGCGUUGUUCGGAUUCAUUGGGCGUAAAGGGUGCGCAGGCUGUGGGGGUAAGUCGGAUGUGAAAUUUAGGGGCUCAACCCCUAAACUGCAUUCGAUACUGCUCCGCUAGAGGACUGUAGAGGAGAUUGGAAUUCACGGUGUAGCAGUGAAAUGCGUAGAUAUCGUGAGGAAGACCAGUGGCGAAGGCGAAUCUCUGGGCAGUUCCUGACGCUCAUGCACGAAGGCCAGGGGAGCAAACGGGAUUAGAUACCCGUGUAGU
rnacentral:rRNA from 1 species